rnacentral:rRNA from 1 species
UACAGAGGUGGCAAGCGUUGUUCGGAAUUACUGGGCGUAAAGCGCACGUAGGCGGAUACUUAAGUUAGGGGUGAAAUCCCAAGGCUCAACCUUGGAACUGCCUUUAAUACUGGGUAUCUCGAGUUCGAGAGAGGUGAGUGGAAUUCCGAGUGUAGAGGUGAAAUUCGUAGAUAUUCGGAGGAACACCAGUGGCGAAGGCGGCUCACUGGCUCGAUACUGACGCUGAGGUGCGAAAGCGUGGGGAGCAAACAGG